rnacentral:rRNA from 1 species
AUGAACGCUGGCGGCAUGCUUAACACCUGCAAGUCGAACGGGAAGUGGUGUUUCCAGUGGCGAACGGGUGAGUAACGCGUAAGAACCUGCCCUUGGGAGGGGAACAACAACUGGAAACGGUUGCUAAUACCCCGUAGGCUGAGGAGCAAAAGGAGAAAUCCGCCCAAGGAGGGGCUCGCGUCUGAUUAGCUAGUUGGUGAGGUAAUAGCUUACCAAGGCGAUGAUCAGUAGCUGGUCCGAGAGGAUGAUCAGCCACACUGGGACUGAGACACGGCCCAGACUCCUACGGGAGGCAGCAGUGAGGAAUUUUCCGCAAUGGGCGAAAGCCUGACGGAGCAAUGCCGCGGGGAGGUGGAAGGCCUACGGGUCGUCAACUUCUUUUCUCGGAGAAGAAACAAUGACGGUAUCUGAGGAAUAAGCAUCGGCUAACUCUGUG